rnacentral:lncRNA from 1 species
UAUCUUUUUUAAAUAGAAGUAUGAGAUAGUCUGUAAAAGACGAAAAACACUCUACUGAUUGGAUUGAUUAGAACCAAAAGGCAAACAUACCAUAUAUCAGACAUGCUCAAUUGACUAAUAUGCAAAUGAGGCAUUUAAUUUUAUGUCCUACAUUCAAUGUAUGUUACUAUCUUGAUCUAUCUAAAACAGUACUUGCAAUACUGUGAAGAAGUUCAAUUAUUGGGAAAAUGUUAAUAAUGUAAUAAUUUGUCAACAGUCAUGUUUGGUUGUGAAAGUAAAAUUUUAUUUUAAACUUUUUCCUCUAGUGUUAGAAAGUACCUUUUUUUUUCUCCAGCAUGUAAAAUUACUCUAAUAUCCUGACUGAUUUAAUAAUAUCACGAAAUAAAAUAUCUAAAAUAGUGUUUUUAAAGAGAAUUAAGAGCAGGGUGACUGAACAAAAU